CAGCUCGUGUUGUGAAAUGUUGGGUUAAGUCCCGCAACGAGCGCAACCCUUAUCCUUUGUUGCCAGCGAUUAGGUCGGGAACUCAAAGGAGACUGCCAGUGAUAAACUGGAGGAAGGUGGGGAUGACGUCAAGUCAUCAUGGCCCUUACGACCAGGGCUACACACGUGCUACAAUGGCGCAUACAAAGAGAAGCGACCUCGCGAGAGCAAGCGGACCUCAUAAAGUGCGUCGUAGUCCGGAUUGGAGUCUGCAACUCGACUCCAUGAAGUCGGAAUCGCUAGUAAUCGUGGAUCAGAAUGCCACGGUGAAUACGUUCCCGGGCCUUGUACACACCGCCCGUCACACCAUGGGAGUGGGUUGCAAAAGAAGUAGGUAGCUUAACCUUCGGGAGGGCGCUUACCACUUUGUGAUUCAUGACUGGGGUGAAGUCGUAACAAGGUAACCGUAGGGGAACCUGC
rnacentral:rRNA from 1 species